AGUGAACGCUGGCGGUAGGCCUAACACAUGCAAGUCGAACGGCAGCACAGUAAGAGCUUGCUCUUACGGGUGGCGAGUGGCGGACGGGUGAGGAAUACAUCGGAAUCUACUUUAUCGUGGGGGAUAACGUAGGGAAACUUACGCUCAUACCGCAUACGACCUACGGGUGAAAGCAGGGGAUAUUCGGACCUUGCGCGAUUGUAUGAGCCGAUGUCGGAUUAGCUAGUUGGCGGGGUAAAGGCCCACCAAGGCGACGAUCCGUAGCUGGUCUGAGAGGAUGAUCAGCCACACUGGAACUGAGACACGGUCCAGACUCCUACGGGAGGCAGCAGUAGGGAAUAUUCGGCAAUGGGCGCAAGCCUGAUCCAGCCACGCCGCGUGGGUGAAGAAGGCCUUCGGAUUGUAAAGCCCUGUUGUUGGGGAAGAAAAGCAGCAGGUUAAUACCCCGCUGUUCUGACGGUACCCAAACAAUAAGCACCGGCUAACUUCGUG
rnacentral:rRNA from 1 species